GAACGAGAAGCCACCUUCGGGUGGUGGACAGUGGCAGACGGGUGAGUAACGCGUGGGAACGUGCCUUUCGGUUCGGGAUAACCCCAGGGAAACUUGGGCUAAUACCGGAUACGCCCUCCGGGGGAAAGAUUCAUUGCCGAAAGAUCGGCCCGCGUCGGAUUAGCUAGUUGGUGGGGUAAUAGCCUACCAAGGCGACGAUCGCUAGCUGGUCUGAGAGGAUGAUCAGCCACACUGGAACUGAGACACGGUCCAGACUCCUACGGGAGGCAGCAGUGGGGAAUAUUGGACAAUGGGCGCAAGCCUGAUCCAGCAAUGCCGCGUGUGUGAAGAAGGCCUUCGGGUUGUAAAGCACUUUUAUCAGGAGCGAAAUACUACUGGCUAAUAACCGGUGGGGCUGACGGUACCUGAGGAAUAAGCACCGGCUAACUUCGUG
rnacentral:rRNA from 1 species